AAUAAACCAAUUUUUUACUUUUUACCUUCAAUUUUUAACUCUUCGUCUUAUUUAAUUUUUUUUAUUAGAUGAUAAAUCAUGAAUAGUACUUUAUGUGUGACUAAUUUUUUUCUAAUUUCCUAAAAUUUUUAAAAUAAGAAGGAUGGUCAAACGUUGGACACAGAAACCGAAG
rnacentral:pre_miRNA from 1 species